rnacentral:rRNA from 1 species
CUUCUGUAUGGUGAACCUGCGGAGGGAUCAUUACACAAAUAUGAAGGCGGGCUGGAACCUCUCGGGGUUACAGCCUUGCUGAAUUAUUCACCCUUGUCUUUUGCGUACUUCUUGUUUCCUUGGUGGGUUCGCCCACCACUAGGACAAACAUAAACCUUUUGUAAUUGCAAUCAGCGUCAGUAACAAAUUAAUAAUUACAACUUUCAACAACGGAUCUCUUGGUUCUGGCAUCGAUGAAGAACGCAGCGAAAUGCGAUAAGUAGUGUGAAUUGCAGAAUUCAGUGAAUCAUCGAAUCUUUGAACGCACAUUGCGCCCUUUGGUAUUCCAAAGGGCAUGCCUGUUCGAGCGUCAUUUGUACCCUCAAGCUUUGCUUGGUGUUGGGCGUCUUGUCUCUAGCUUUGCUGGAGACUCGCCUUAAAGUAAUUGGCAGCCGGCCUACUGGUUUCGGAGCGCAGCACAAGUCGCACUCUCUAUCAGCAAAGGUCUAGCAUCCAUUAAGCCUUUUUUUCAACUUUUGACCUCGGAUCAGGUAGGGAUACCCGCUGAACUUAAGCAUAUCAA